GACGAACGCUGGCGGCGUGUUUAACACAUGCAAGUCGAACGGAAAGGCCCUGCUUUUGUGGGGUGCUCGAGUGGCGAACGGGUGAGUAACACGUGAGUAACCUGCCCUUGACUUUGGGAUAACUUCAGGAAACUGGGGCUAAUACCGGAUAGGAGCUCCUGCUGCAUGGUGGGGGUUGGAAAGUUUCGGCGGUUGGGGAUGGACUCGCGGCUUAUCAGCUUGUUGGUGGGGUAGUGGCCUACCAAGGCUUUGACGGGUAGCCGGCCUGAGGGGGUGACCGGCCACAUUGGGACUGAGAUACGGCCCAGACUCCUACGGGAGGCAGCAGUGGGGAAUAUUGCACAAUGGGCGGAAGCCUGAUGCAGCAACGCCGCGUGCGGGAUGACGGCCUUCGGGUUGUAAACCGCUUUCGCCUGUGACGAAGCGUGAGUGACGGUAAUGGGUAAAGAAGCACCGGCUAACUACGUG
rnacentral:rRNA from 1 species